CGCUUUUGGAUGGGCCCGCGGCGCAUUAGCUAGUUGGUGGGGUAAAGGCUUACCAAGGCAAUGAUGCGUAGCCGAACUGAGAGGUUGAUCGGCCACAUUGGGACUGAGACACGGCCCAAACUCCUACGGGAGGCAGCAGUAGGGAAUCUUCCACAAUGGGCGAAAGCCUGAUGGAGCAACGCCGCGUGGGUGAAGAAGGUCUUCGGAUCGUAAAACCCUGUUGUUAGAGAAGAAAGUGCGUGAGAGUAACUGUUCACGUUUCGACGGUAUCUAACCAGAAAGCCACGGCUAACUACGUGCCAGCAGCCGCGGUAAUACGUAGGUGGCAAGCGUUAUCCGGAUUUAUUGGGCGUAAAGGGAACGCAGGCGGUCUUUUAAGUCUGAUGUGAAAGCCUUCGGCUUAACCGGAGUAGUGCAUUGGAAACUGGGAGACUUGAGUGCAGAAGAGGAGAGUGGAACUCCAUGUGUAGCGGUGAAAUGCGUAGAUAUAUGGAAGAACACCAGUGGCGAAAGCGGCUCUCUGGUCUGUAACUGACGCUGAGGUUCGAAAGCGUGGGUAGCAAACAGGAUUAGAUACCCUGGUAGUCCACGCCGUAAACGAUGAAUGCUAAGUGUUGGAGGGUUUCCGC
rnacentral:rRNA from 1 species